rnacentral:misc_RNA from 1 species
CUUGAAAAGGUUGGGUUUGCUGAAGAGGAUGCCAAAUCCAUGUAAACAGAUGAUAUAGAUAGGAUUAGGGUUUUCCUGCUGUCUUUAUCAGGAUCCUGCUAAUAGAUUUGUUUUUGCUGUAGGGUUGUCCUGAUUCUAGCUGCAGUUCUUCUUCUUGGGUGUCUUAGUACAGUUUUUCCCCCUUGUUGCUUACUUGUGAGAGAACGUGAUGACUAAAGUAAGAACCCUAGAAAGACAGAGACAGACAGAGACACAGAGAGGCAGCGGUUUCUUGUUUUUCAGGUGAUGAGGGAUAGUUUAUCGCCUUGAAAUGGAAGAGUUAAGAAGCUUUGUUGUUAUCCUCCUUGCCCCUUCAGGAAUGGGUAUUUCUUGAGAAAAUAGAAGUAGAACACAAGAAUAACCAAAAAGGGGAUCAAUAAGCAAGAAUUUGCAUGGCUUCCCAGUCUUCACGAUAAAGAAAGAGAGAAAAGGAGUUUUGAAAUUGAUGGUAAUUAAAGAAAAUGGUAAAAAUUUGAAGGGGAAACACAAGAUUCUAAGCAAAGAAUGGCUGCUGUCUGCAAGAAAUCUUUAAGGACCGCAGUUAUUGAUAGAUGGUAUCUGAAAUAUGCUUAAAGAGAAGAUCAGACCAUCAGAUUUUUUUUCCAGGAAAAGAGCAAGCAACUCAAGUUAACACUGUAGAUAAAGUUAGCAAGAGAGAGAGUGAGGGGUAGCUAGGGAAGGGGGAGAG